UGCUCAGUGAUGGUGGAGGGUUGGGAU
rnacentral:piRNA from 1 species